CGGUUGUGAUUUUCAUCAUUCAAAGAGAAUCCUUGUUAGUUGUGAAGCUUCCCUGCACUCUUAUUGUCUUUCGAUCUUUUUAUUUCCCCCAUAUUUAAAGUAAACUCCCCCAUAUUUAUUGUCUUUUGAGAAAUGAUUGCUAGAGGCUUAUUGAAUGGUUUAUAGAAGGUAAGAUACAUCAACUCAAAUUAAUAAUUUUUCUAUUAUUGUUGAAAUUAUUACAAAACUUCGUAAAUUUUGUGGCAAUUGGAUUGGAGGAUUUGGGAAUUAUCAUGAACUCAAUAGCAGCGGUUUUGGUUAUCUCAUUAUUAUGAAUGGAUUUUGAACUUUUGUUAUUGGAUGACUUUUGAGUCUCUGUUUGUUGCCAUGGCUAUAAUGCAUCCUGUUUUGGUAGAUAUUUUUUGUUGUAACUGAUUUGUUAGUGCUUAAGAUUUCUUGAUAGUAACCUAGAACUCAUGAUUGGUGUGAUGAGCAACUGUGCUUUAUUUGACUGAAUUUCCUAGGAAAAGAUAUGUAGUGCCAAGAGCCUAAGAUUAAUGGCAUAGGUAUAUGAUUUUCACUGCUAUCUUCAAAACAAAUUCAUCUGCUAAAUGCAUGACCCCACUUUUUUGUUAACCGUUUUUGACGUUUUGAUAUUUUUUACAAUCUGAUGACAGCUGAAGAAAUCUGUAUAUUAAAGUAUGUUAUCACACAAUGUGAAUUUGGGUUAUGGUUUAAAUAUGAAGUAUCUUAAACCUUUGGUCAUUUUCAUAGUUAGUGUUACUCGGCUGUAAUUCUUAGAAACUUAAUCAACGGAAAAUAUGUACAUAUGAAAUAGCUCAUCACAGAGAUUUUCUUUUAAUGUGUAGUUGAACUGUUUCAUUACUUGUUGAAAUCCUAUAUAGGGAUUAUUGCAUUGACAUUGUUUAAACAUGUUGGAAAAGCUUUUAUUAUUAAAACAUGGUUUGGAGUUUUGUUGUUUGUUAUCAGCUACACCUGUCUUAAAAGAUCUGGUGAUUCUAACUCCAAGUACAAUUGUUUUUACACCUAUUUCUUUGGUUUUUCUAAAUCUACUUUGCAUUGUGAUGGCUGAGGUUAGAAUAAAGAACUAAUAGUGAAACAAUAUUGUACAAUUUGAGGUUGCAUUUUUUUAGAAUAUCUUUGAAUGUUAGUACAAUUUCUUUUGGGAUCAAAAGUUGAACUAUGAUAUAGCCUCGUUGCUGAUUAACUUAUUUUAUCUAACUGAUUUUGACCCUGUAUUGGUGGUUGAGUAUUUUGGAUUCUUGACAUGGAUUUCAUCUUUGUUCCACGAGUAAUACCGAUCUACCUUACUGAUUUCUAGGUGCACUGAAGCAUGUUAAGUUGCAGCAUGGGGCAGACAAAAAUUGAACUUCUCCCAAGCAAAUCGGUGGUUCUCAAGUGCCACAAACCAGAGACAAUGUAAGCAUGAGAAGGCUCAAUCAUGGAAUAUGUAUCAAUAACUAAGAUAAGACCAAUACAUUGUUGAUGUUGAAAAGUUAUGAACUGCAAUGUGUGGGAAUGAACCAUAUCAAAUGGGUAAAAUGUAGUCAAUUUAAUCUGAUAAAUGCAUAAUUGCAUAAGAAAUUUAAUCUUUGAUUAUUAUUUUCUUCUUACUUUUACUCAAAACUCUGUUAAGAAAAAUUGCUGAAAACAAUGUCAUUUCUAUAAUUCUUUGGAAGGUUACAUUACAAGAUAUAUAUAUAUAAGGGCUGAUUCAAAUAUCUUUUCACUUUAGACAUUGUUUUUGGAUUCAAGCUUUAACCAGACUGCAUCAAAAUUGCACACACGGACUAUCAUUUUUCUUUCAAGAACCUCUCAGUGGAACUAUUCUACUAAGUACUAUCAUUGACAUGUUUUGGUAGGCACAGUUCUUUGCAACUGAAUGCUACAAGAGGUAGCAUUUCAGGGGCCAAAUCCAAAUUGUUGAGGGGGAUUCUUAUUUGUACAAAUGAUACUUUGAAUUGGAACGAGCACGAAGGAAUUAACGAUACUUCAUCUUUUGAGUUGUUCUACUAGAUCGGUCGCUCAAGACCUUUGGUCUCUGCCCGGACUUGAUGAAAAAAAUGGGAUCACUUCUUAUGAACUCGUUGAGAAUGAUUCUGAUCUAGUUCAUGGCCUAUUAGAAGUAGAAGGCGCUCUGGUGGGAUCCUCAUAGACAAAAAAAGGUUGCAGUCAGUUUGAUAAUGAUCGAGUAACAUUGUUUCUUCGGUCCGAACAAAGAAAUUCCUUAAAUAUGAUUUAAAAUAGAUCUUGUUUUAUCGUUGAUCAGAGAUUUCUCUACGAAAAAUAUGGAUCAGAGUUUGAAGAAGGGGAAGGAGUUUUCGACCCGCAACGGAUGGAGGAGGAUUUAUUCAAUCACAUAGUUUGGGCUCCUAGAAUAUGACGCUUUCUUCUUUUCAUGCUCUGCUACUUCAUUGUCUAAGGAGGCUUCAUUGUUUAAGGAGGCUUUAGCAAUUUUGGUGACGAAAAUGAAUAGAAUGCCUAAGAAGAAUAAUUGUUAUUAUUAGAUCUCCAAAAGAAAAUUUGGAUGAAAUCAAAGCUAAAAGAAGGAGAACGGAUUUUCUAAA